rnacentral:tRNA from 2 species
GGAGGGAUGGCUGAGUGGUCGAAAGCGCACGACUCGAAAUCGUGUUAACCCUCACGGGUUACGAGGGUUCGAAUCCCUCUCCCUCCGCCA